AGAGUUUGAUCAUGGCUCAGAAUGAACGCUGGCGGCGUGCCUAACACAUGCAAGUCGAGCGAGAAAGUCUCUUCGGAGAUAAGUACAGCGGCGGACGGGUGAGUAACGCGUGAGAAUUUACCCUUUAGUGAAGAAUACCUCUGAGAAAUCAGGGUUAAUACUGCAUACGUCCCUACGGGGAGAAAGGUGGCCUCUUUGCUGCCGCUAAAGGAUAAGCUUGCGUACUAUUAGCUAGUUGGUGAGGUAAAGGCUCACCAAGGCGAUGAUGGUUAGCCGGGCCUGAGAGGGUGUACGGCCACACUGGAACUUAGACACGGUCCAGACUCCUACGGGAGGCAGCAGUGAGGAAUAUUGCGCAAUGGGCGAAAGCCUGACGCAGCGACGCCGCGUGGAGGAUGAAGGUCUUCGGAUUGUAAACUCCUGUUAAGUGGGAAGAAAGACCUAUUUCUAAUACAGAUAGGGGAUGACGGUACCAUUAGAGAAAGCACCGGCUAACUUCGUG
rnacentral:rRNA from 1 species